rnacentral:rRNA from 1 species
UACGAAUGGGGCAAGCGUUGUUCGGAAUCACUGGGCUUAAAGCGUGCGCAGGCGGACUUGAAAGUCAGGAGUGAAAUCCCGGGGCUCAACCCCGGAAUUGCUCUUGAAACUCCAAGUCUAGAAUCCUGGAGAGGUCGGGAGAAUUCCUAGUGUAGAGGUGAAAUUCGCAGAUAUUAGGAGGAAUACCAGUGGCGUAGGCGCCCGACUGGACAGGCAUUGACGCUCAGGCACGAAAGCGUGGGGAUCAAACAGG